UACAGGGGGGCAAGCGUUGUUCGGAAUUACUGGGCGUAAAGGGUUCGUAGGUGGCCACUUAAGUCAGACGUGAAAUCCCUCAGCUUAACUGGGGAACUGCGUCUGAUACUGGGUGGCUUGAGUGCAGGAGAGGGAUGCGGAAUUCCAGGUGUAGCGGUGAAAUGCGUAGAUAUCUGGAGGAACACCGGUGGCGAAGGCGGCAUCCUGGACCGGCACUGACGCUGAGGAGCGAAAGCGGA
rnacentral:rRNA from 1 species